AGUGAACGCUGGCGGUAGGCCUAACACAUGCAAGUCGAACGGCAGCACAGUAAGAGCUUGCUCUUACGGGUGGCGAGUGGCGGACGGGUGAGGAAUACAUCGGAAUCUACUUUUUCGUGGGGGAUAACGUAGGGAAACUUACGCUAAUACCGCAUACGACCUACGGGUGAAAGCAGGGGAUCUUUGGACCUUGCGCGAUUGAAUGAGCUGAUGUCGGAUUAGCUAGUUGGCGGGGUAAAGGCCCACCAAGGCGACGAUCCGUAGCUGGUCUGAGAGGAUGAUCAGCCACACUGGAACUGAGACACGGUCCAGACUCCUACGGGAGGCAGCAGUGGGGAAUAUUGGACAAUGGGCGCAAGCCUGAUCCAGCCAUACCGCGUGGGUGAAGAAGGCCUUCGGGUUGUAAAGCCCUUUUGUUGGGAAAGAAAAGCAGCAGGUUAAUACCCCGCUGUUCUGACGGUACCCAAAGAAUAAGCACCGGCUAACUUCGUG
rnacentral:rRNA from 1 species